UACAGAGGGUGCAAGCGUUGUUCGGAAUUAUUGGGCGUAAAGGGCUCGUAGGCGGCCAACUAAGUCGGACGUGAAAUCCCUCAGCUUAACUGGGGAACUGCGUCCGAUACUGGAUGGCUUGGAUUUGGGAGAGGGAUGCGGAAUUCCAGGUGUAGCGGUGAAAUGCGUAGAUAUCUGGAGGAACACCGGUGGCGAAGGCGGCAUCCUGGACCAAUAUUGACGCUGAGGAGCGAAAGCCAGGGGAGCAAACGGG
rnacentral:rRNA from 1 species